CCGGCGCAAAACCACAUACAGAGACUACUGAGCUCUGGAGAAUGAAGAGCACAGACUGUUCAGUCUCAAGUCCCAACAAGAGGCAGUACAAGAUUCUUCAUCUCAUCUUUAUUCCUGACUUGAUCAUUAUCAGGGAUUCAGAAUGAGUCACCCAGAGAAGUGCCUCCGAGGUAUACCAGUACGUAUUUCGGAGAAAAAGCACGGUUCCAAAAGACACACGCUGAAAAUGAACCUGACUUACUGGUACUGGAAAACUCUUACCUGAAAUCCUGCCACAUCUCCCACGCUGACAUGGGAACUCGUUGCCAGACUUCAAACAGCCCCCUGACUACUCUGAGACUGAAUUUUCCAGUGGAAGAAAUAAGCUGCAAUUCCUGUAGACUACUAUGAACCUCUUGGACAUAUUAGGCUGUCUAUGGCUUCCACCCAUUGUUUCUGUGCUGGUUAAUAAAAGUAAACCACUCAGCCACCUCUCUAAGUUAUAUCUCAACAACCACCCCUAGAACAGGUGAGCAUUACUUGUUGCAUUUGGUAGAUAAGAAAACUAAGCCCUAUCUCCUUUAGUUAAAUGCUCUUGUGUGUUUCACAGUAUUAGGCUCAGGCGACAAGAAAAAAAGAUGAGUUCUGUGGUAUUCUUGCUUUUGAGGACCAUACCGUCACCUUGUGGAACAGAUCUGUCACCAUCAGAGCAAUAAACUAUGAUAGGUUUUGUGGAAGAAAUGUUUUGGGUGCAUUGUGGGGUGUAAAAUGGAAGAGGAUUAAAAAGCUAAUCCUGAUAUUCAGCCUACAUACAUUUCUUCCUAACCUGUACUUAUAGCAUUGACUGAUGGCCAAAACCCUCCCCUGUGCCCACUGCCGCCCACAAUUCCUUUCAAGGUGCACAAAUUCAUGCACUGGGCCCCUAGUACUCCAAUAAUAAGAGUGAGAAUGAACAAACAUGUGAGAUCAAAAUACUGGUGGGGUUUGAUUACAAAGCAAUGAGUUCAGCUCCCAUAAUUAGUUUAUCAUCCCAAUUUCAAAGUAUUUAGAUGAACCAUUAUUCUUCCAAAAUAAACCUUUCUUGACCUUUGCCUGGC